rnacentral:rRNA from 1 species
GCAUAUCAAUAAGCGGAGGAAAAGAAACCAACAGGGAUUGCCUUAGUAACGGCGAGUGAAGCGGCAAAAGCUCAAAUUUGAAAUCUGGCACUUUCAGUGUCCGAGUUGUAAUUUGAAGAAGGUAACUUUGGAAUUGGCCCUUGUCUAUGUUCCUUGGAACAGGACGUCACAGAGGGUGAGAAUCCCGUGCGAUGAGGUGACCAAUUCUAUGUAAAGUGCUUUCGAAGAGUCGAGUUGUUUGGGAAUGCAGCUCUGAGUGGGUGGUAAAUUCCAUCUAAAGCUAAAUAUUGGCGAGAGACCGAUAGCGAACAAGUACAGUGAUGGAAAGAUGAAAAGAACUUUGAAAAGAGAGUGAAAAAGUACGUGAAAUUGUUGAAAGGGAAGGGCUUGAGAUCAGACUUGGUAUUUUGCGUUCCCUUCCUUUUUGGUUGGGUUCCUCGCAGUUUACUGGGCCAGCAUCGGUUUGGAUGGUAGGAUAAUGACAUUGGAAUGUGGCUCUACUUCGGUGGAGUGUUAUAGACUUUGUUGAUACUACCUAUCUAGACCGAGGACUGCGUCUUUGACUAGGAUGCUGGCGUAAUGAUCUUAAGCCGCCCGUCUUGAAACACGGACC